UUGAAAUACUGGUUCCUGUACAAUCACUGAAAUUAAGCAACAUUGAACCUUAUCAGUACCUAGAUAGGUGACCGCUUGGGAAUACCAGGUGCUGUAAG